rnacentral:lncRNA from 1 species
AAAUGUGGACUUUUACAUCAAAUAUGUGUUCUACCAAAACCAUCUGCUCACGAUUUCCUUGAGCUGAAAGGGAGAUGGGGAAGUAAACAAGGAAAGUACAAAAGUAGACUCACAUUAGAAAGCAAACAGAAACCUAAGUGUUUAGCCUGUUAUUAGUAGUAAUAUAAGUUGAGAGCGCUUGAAAAAACUAACAGACUAGUCGUCUUCAUCAACAUAUCCUUCUUCGUCUGAAGAUUCUUCCUCUUCACUUAUUUCAUUUUAAUUAGGUGAUUCUUCAUCCUCAUUUUCUAUGUUGUUAUUUCCUCCAUAUCAAAUUCUUCUAACAUGCGUUGAGGAUGCUCCAAGUAAUUUUCUAACUAAUCAUCCAUUAUUUGGUUAACACUUAAGGUAUCAUUUUGGUAAGCAACAUCUAGUACAUUCUCA